rnacentral:lncRNA from 13 species
UCGACGCACACGUCGCACACGUGUAAUUAGCGGUACAGUCAGAAUUUAACGACGCGAGAUAAGCGGCGCGAAGCUCUACUCAGUAAUUACAAAAGCCUUACGUGGUAAUCAUAAAGAUUGGUGCGGUACUGUUAUAACAUCAUGCAUUGCCUUUUGCGCCGCUUUACACCUUCGCUUGCAUUAAGCAACGCUGAAAGAGCAUGCAAGCAGCUUUCAAAAGUAUCCGCUAAAUGUCAGAAAGCGACGUCGCCAUAACACAAAUUUCACGACUAUUUCAGGCUCUGGCUUAUUGGGUCAAAGAUGGGUGUACUGUCAUGGUACAACAUGCAAAAACGUACGAAAUUGCAAUUGUAAUUUUUCGUCACCCUGUAUCUAGUAACGAUCGUUACAAAGUUUCUACCGUUUCGACUAAAGUGUUUGAUUUCAACCUUCGCACUCACCGACCGUGUUUAUUUUGCUUACAGUCGUGGAAGUGUGGGCACGCAGGAGCCGUAAUGUUUCAAUACAACGAGAUAAUGUCCGCAGCUCUUUUCCUCGCGCGCGGAGAAACAUCCCUACCGGUGAAAUUGUAGUCAACUACAAGUCAGUCUUAAUUCGACCGUGCGGUAAAGCUAUUCGGCUAUGGGCCACAUACGAAUUCCGUAUUAUUGUCGCAUUCUCUUUUAUAUAUUCCGUAUACUCGUGUAUAUUUUUUUAAUAUGUAAACUUAUAAGAGCUAUUAUGUGUCUUGCAAAGAUAUAAUGACAUUUAGUUGCCGUUAUGAAGAUACUGUUCGUACAUUACAUUUUUAAGAAUGCAUGCAUAUUCGUACAAUGGAGGAUGGAUUACAUAAGAAUUCAGAACAAUCUUGGAAUGCCCACGCUUGAACACGUUAUAACUAUUAGGCUUAACAGCAUUAGACUGACAACCGACAACUUUCUCGGGACUUUUUAACGGUAGAAAGGAAUAAGGAUAAAAGACGAUCUCAUGAAUAUGAAUCCAAAGCAUUGUCCGUACAGCUUGUAUACAAUUGUGAGAAAAAAUUUCCUGAACACAGACUUGAGUGCGGAAAGGUCAACUGAAAUAAGUGAUAAAACCUUGCAAUCUACAUUUUGACGAUUUAAUAUGAGGAUGAUGUGUCCAUUUACUUCGACGCUUUAGAACGAUGACAAGAGAAGGUGAAACACUGAAAUACAAUAAUCGC